rnacentral:snRNA from 1 species
AUUCAAAGAAAACGUAAAAGAGA